GGGCUCGUGGUUUAGUGGUGUAAGCUCUCACAUCAUCCAAACCAAAGAAAAAAACUUGCUGACCUAGUGAUUACAGAUAAUACUCCCUUAGCAUAUUGCAAGAAAUUGGGAGUGGUCCAGGGUUCGAUUCCCUGCGAGUCCA